rnacentral:rRNA from 1 species
AUUGAACGCUGGCGGCAGGCCUAACACAUGCAAGUCGAGCGGAUGAAGGGAGCUUGCUCCUGGAUUCAGCGGCGGACGGGUGAGUAAUGCCUAGGAAUCUGCCUGGUAGUGGGGGAUAACGUCCGGAAACGGGCGCUAAUACCGCAUACGUCCUGCGGGAGCAAGUGGGGGAUCUUCGGACCUCACGCUAUCAGAUGAGCCUAGGUCGGAUUAGCUAGUUGGUGGGGUAAAGGCCUACCAAGGCGACGAUCCGUAACUGGUCUGAGAGGAUGAUCAGUCACACUGGAACUGAGACACGGUCCAGACUCCUAAGGGAGGCAGCAGUGGGGAAUAUUGGACAAUGGGCGAAAGCCUGAUCCAGCCAUGCCGCGUGUGUGAAGAAGGUCUUCGGAUUGUAAAGCACUUUAAGUUGGGAGGAAGGGCAGUAAGUUAAUACCUUGCUGUUUUGACGUUACCAACAGAAGAAGCACCGGCUAACUUCGUG